GGAAAGUAAUGAAGGGCGCAUGGCGGAUGCCUUGGCUCACGGAGGCGAUGAAGGACGUGUCAAGCUGCGAUAAGCCCCGGGUAGAUGCAAGCAAUCUCUGAUCCGGGGAUUUCCGAAUGGGACAACCCAGCACUCUGAAGGAGUGCUAUCCUGUUUUUUGUUCAGGAGGCUAACGCAGGGAACUGAAACAUCUUAGUACCUGCAGGAAAAGAAAAUAACUUAAUGAUUCCCCCAGUAGUGGCGAGCGAACGGGGAGUAGCCCAAACCCGCUGCGUUUCAAUGCGCGGUGGGGGUUGUAGGACCACGCCGUCGUACCCUGUGUGUGAGGAGAAUGUUCUGGAAAGAACGACCGUAGCGGGUGACAGUCCCGUAUCCGAAGCAUGAUGGGGCGUAGUGGUAUCCUGAGUAGCGCGGAGCACGAGUAAUUCUGCGUGAAUCUGCCGGGCCCAUCCGGCAAGGCUAAAUACUCCCGUGAGAC
rnacentral:rRNA from 1 species